GGACUCGGCUCGUUGGUGCACACAGCGAGAGGCGAGGC
rfam:Human immunodeficiency virus type 1 complete proviral genome